GCUGGGGUAGCUCAGUCAGUAGAGCAUGAGAUCUCAAGGUCGUGGGUUCGAGCCCCACGUGGGGCA